rnacentral:misc_RNA from 1 species
UGGUUCUGGCAUCGAUGAAGAACGCAGCGAAAUGCGAUAAGUAAUGUGAAUUGCAGAAUUCAGUGAAUCAUCGAAUCUUUGAACGCACAUUGCGCCCGCUGGUAUUCCGGCGGGCAUGCCUGUUCGAGCGUCAUUUCCACCCUCAAGCCUUAGUUAGCUUGGUGUUGGGGCUCUGCUCGUUAUACAGCAGACCCUGAAAUAGAGUGGCGGGCUCGCUAAGACUCUGAGCGUAGUAAACUCUUCUAUCGCUUUGGUAGGAUUAGUGGUGUCCCGGCCGUAAAACACGUCUCCGGACAGCUAGAAAUUUUGACCUCGGAUCAGGUAGGAAUACCCGCUGA